rnacentral:rRNA from 1 species
CUUUACCUACGGGGGGCAGCAGUGGGGAAUAUUGCACAAUGGGGGAAACCCUGAUGCAGCAACGCCGCGUGAGUGAGGAAGUAUUUCGGUAUGUAAAGCUCUAUCAGCAGGGAAUAGAAAAGAAGGUACCUGAAAAAGAAGCCCCGGCUAACUACGUGCCAGCAGCCGCGGUAAUACGUAGGGGGCAAGCGUUAUCCGGAUUUAUUGGGUGUAAAGGGUGCGUAGACGGGAAAACAAGUUAGUUGUGAAAUCCCUCAGCUUAACUGAGGAACUGCAACUAAAACUAUUUUUCUUGAGUGCUGGAG